rnacentral:rRNA from 1 species
GAUGAACGCUGGCGGCGUGCUUAACACAUGCAAGUCGAACGGAAAGGCCCAAGCUUGCCUGGGUACUCGAGUGGCGAACGGGUGAGUAACACGUGGGUGAUCUGCCCUGCACUUCGGGAUAAGCCUGGGAAACUGGGUCUAAUACCGGAUAGGACCACUUCUUGGAUGUUGUGGUGGAAAGUUUUUUCGGUGUGGGAUGAGCUCGCGGCCUAUCAACUUGUUGGUGGGGUAAUGGCCUAACAAAGCGUCGACGGGUAAGCGGGCCGGGAGGGUGUACGGCCCCCAUGGGGCCUGAAAACGAGCCAAACCUCCAACGGAAGGAAGGAGUGGGGAAAAUGCAAUAAUGGGCGCAACCGUGAUGAAGCGAGGCGGGGUGGGGAUGACGGCCUUCGGGUUGUAAACUCCUUUCGCUAGGGACGAAGCGUUUUGUGACGGUACCUGGAGAAGAAGCACCGGCUAACUACGUG